GGAUCGUUGGUCUAGGGGUAUGAUUCUCGCUUAGGGUGCGAGAGUGUUCAAAUCCCGGACGGGCCC
rnacentral:tRNA from 1 species